AUCAAAACAUUAAAUUUACUCGAAAGAAAGCCGCAAGUUAAAACAUAAAAUGAGUAGGCAAUCACAAACAGAAUCCACAAGACUAUUCGAUAACUCUGUAAGACAAUGUGUAAGGUAUGUGUUUUGUCGCGAAGCUGAUAAAAUACCCAUAAAACGAUCUGAGAUAUUGGAGCAAAUUGCGCCCGAAUAUAGGAAAAAAUCGAAAAAUGUUUUAGUUGAAGUUGAAAAAGAAUUAAAACGGGUGUACGGAUAUAAACUUGUAGAAAUAAAAGAUAAAGAUAAAAUCCUAUACAUUGUUGUGCUGGAUGAAGCAUGUGACUCUCCACCUUCGAGAACAACAGACCUACUACAGAAGAGGAUAUUGUCGGGGGCUCUUACACAUAUCUUCAUGUCAGGAAGACCAGUCAAAGAAGAUGAUAUGUGGAGUUUCCUAGAUAAAUCUGGUUUACUCGCAGAAGAUAACAUUUCUGGAAGAAAAUUACUAACGCAGCAAUUUACAAAACAGUUGUACCUUUCAUAUUCAAAGAUGGGGGAAGGUGAACUAGCUAGGUACGCAUUUGACUGGGGUCCAAGAGCUAAUCAUGAAUUGCCCAAGAAGUUCAUACUGCAAAAAGUUGCAGUAGCAUUUGGUACAGAUCCAGCAUGUUGGUCGGAACAAUACAAAAGAACACUGGAAUAAAUCAAGAUCUACUUGUACCUUGAAUAUAAAAGUAAUUUUUCAAUAAAGUAGAUGUGAAAUGAGUUGAUCCAUGAUGAUAACAAUAUUUCCUCAUUUUAAUAUUAAAUACGUGGACUCAAUCGAUCUGCA
rnacentral:misc_RNA from 1 species